ensembl:lncRNA
CAAAAGCCACAGGGAGAAGACAAUGCAGCAUUCACAGGUACUGGAGGAAGAUGCUGGAAUGUUUCGUUCAUUGAAGCUGGAUGAGACCCAAAUCCUGGAGGCAGUUCUGCAGAUUUUGACACUUGGAACAAUAAGUACUCUGGUCUUCACUGGCAAAGCAGGUUCCUUCCUGCCCAGUGAUGGGUUGAGAUUAAACGCCUGGUUGACAAACAAAAGGAACAGCUUCAUCUGGAAAAUUCCACUGCAGGACGUUGGGGCAGAGCCCACUGGUUUCCCAACCGCAGUUGAGAACAGAGGAGCGGAACUGAGGACCCGCGCUGGAUGGGGUGAGGUGAAGGCGGCGCUUGGUGCCAAGUUGAAAGCGGUGUGCCCUUCUUGACCACCCCUGAGAACAAAGGAACGCUUUCGCGAAACUUGCGCAUGGCUGCCUCACUUGCCUCAUUCUCAUCCGGGAAACUGCUGAGGAUUUUCAGGCCUGGUUUCUACAGACUCAGGAGGUCCCCGAAGCAUCUCGGCCCAUCAGCAGUUGAGGGAGUAAAGAUGGUCUCCUUGAGGCCACCUUGGACCAGCGACCUCCAGGAAGCUUCCAGCAAGCUGGCUAGCUGUCCCUCCUUCGGCCCUGUCCUCCCCCUAGACGUAAGCACAUGUGUCCUGUUCACCUGUGUGUCAUAGGCAAGCCAUGCCACCCCCGUGUCCAGUUGUGUUCCCCAUAAACAUGAGUUGAAGUUCUAAUGCCCAGAACCUGUGAGUGUCAUCUGACUUGGAAAUAAAGUUUUUGCAAAUGUAAUCAAGUUGAGAUGGGAUCAUUCAGGGGGACUUCCCUAGUGGCCCAGUGCUUAGGAUUCCACACUCCCAAUGCAGGGGGCCAGCCAGGGUUCCAUCCCUGGUCAGGGAACUAGAUCCCACAUGUUGCAACUAAAGAUCCUGCAUGACGUAAGGAAGAUUGAAGAUCCCGUGUGCCACAACUAAGACUCAGCGCAGCCAAAUAAAUAAAUAUUUUAAAAUUGACACGGGGUUGUUCAGAGUCCUGGCUUCCCUCUGCAUGCCAGUGCAGGAGAUGCAAGAGAUGCGGGUUCGAUCUGUGGGUGGGGAAGAUCCCCUGGAGGAGGAAAUGGCAACCCACUCUUCAGUAUUCUUGCCUGGCGAAUCCCAUGGACAGAGGAACCUAGUG